CUCAGCCAUACACUGUAGUACUCCACACUCUGACCUCCUGUGGGGGGGGCAGCAGGUGGUGCAUACAAGAGGAGGUGACAUCAUCAUCCCGUACUGAUGAAGGACACAUGUGCAUAGCUCCUGGGGAACUUGUCUCAUAGCUGCUGCUAUCACUUCCUUUCCUCCCAUCCCAAUCAGACCAUAGGCUUUGUGUCGCUGAUGGGUAGUUUGCCUUUCCUAGAGGUGGUGGCACUGAGCCUUUUCAGUUGCAAUACUCUUUGGUUGGUCUCCUUGAAGCAGUGUAUCCAUGCUGCCACCCUGUGCUGCCACCUCCCACUAUUAUGGGGCUGAACCAAGCAAAUUUGACUUUUCAUGUACCUGUCACCCAUCCUGUGAUGGCCAUUUGUUAUGUUUCCGGGUUGGACAAAGAAAGCAAGCUGCCACACCCAUUCUUACACAAGUAUUUGAGUGGAUACCAACAUUUAUUUCAAAGAAAAUGCAACAUAUUGCUGGUGUAUGGAUAACUUAGAAAUUCUUACUGUAUCUUUGGAAGCAGAUGUUUAAAGUAGAGUUAUGUGCUUCCUUUUAUUAUUUUAUUUUGUGUUAUUAUGCUGUACUAUGCUAUGCUCUGUUGUGUUAUGUUAGAUGUUGGUAAGGAUUUCAAAACUCCCUCAGUGUUUUCAGUGCUUUCUGAUUUGAUUUUGUGUAACCAACCUGAUGAACUUUGAGAAUAUCACAUAAGUCUGAGCAAUUUUGUUUUGGAGAAAAUUUAAAAAGGAAAGCACAAUCAGAGGUGUUGGUGCACACCUGUCAUUCCAGGACUCCAAAGGCUGAGGCAGGAAGAUUGUGAGUUUGAGAUCAUCCAGGACUACAAGGGAAGAUCAAAGCCAGACUGAACUGCAUAGCAAAACCCUGUCUGAAGAAAAAAGGAAAGAAGAAAGAGAGAGUGAAAAAAAUAUAAAAAUGAAAAGUCAAAAAUCGCCUUUCUAGUGAGAAAUCAAAUCUUUGUGAGGUUCUUUUGCACGUGUACUUUGGUCAGCACACCUAGCAUAAGGUUUACCAUCACGGAUACAUUGAUGUGCUUCCUGCUGUUUAUACUCUUUCAAUUUUUUAAUGCUUUUUACUUAGAUGACUGCAGAUAUGCUGCUGAAUAUAUCCUCUUAAGAUUUGGGUAGUUCAGUAUGAAGAGAUUUUGAUCAUUCUGGUUUUUUUUUCUGUCCUAAAUUUAUAUUUAGAACCAGAAUUUGAGCAAGUGAUUACUAUUUUUAUUUUGAAAUAAUAAUAAGAAUCAUACAAAGAUACACUUUUUAAGUCUAUAAAAGAUAAAAUAAGUAUAGAUUAAUAGUGGUUAAUGUACUUUGUUCAGUGACUUCUGAGAUUUCUUAAUGAUCAAUAUUUUCCUACAUUUGUAAAAGCUUUUGUUUUGUACAAAUUUUAAGACAUGGUCUCACUAAUUUUCUAAGUGUCCCAGGCUAGGCUUAAAACUUUCCUCAUCUUUCCUCCCCCUCCCAGAGUGCUGGGAUUACAGGUGUAUAUUAUCCUGAGUUGGCAAUUGGUAGCAAUGUUGUGUAUUCAUGGAAUAAAAUGUUCGGCUUUGGUCUUCAGACACUUCAUAGAAAGAGUCACUCUAGUUAAGCUGCCUGCCACCUUCCUAGCCUGCAGUUUCUUUCACAGUAAGUAGGACUCAAAAUCCCAUUAACACUGUUAGUAGAUUCUCGGAUUUUCUAACUGUGGUCAGCAUGCACUUGAGAAGAUCACUCCAAAUGAAUUUUUUGGGGCACCUGGGAAAGGAAUGAGGAAGCUGUAAUUAGGGAAAAAGUGGAAGUAGCCAUAUGGGUAAGCAUCCCUGAUUUGGCCAUUCACCCUGAUGACCUACCACCAUGAUGUCCUGUGAUUUAUUCUAGGGCAAAACACUUUCGAGUACAUCCUUCACUUUGAAGAAAUGAAAAUAAAGUAUUUUGGCUAUGUGUCUUCUUCCAUGGAUGUUGAAAACAGAAGAAGCACGGAAAGGAAGGUAUAAACUCCUUCAAUGCAAGUGUCCCUUAAAAGGUCAGAUGAACAUUUAAGAAGACAACUAUUACUGUUUCUCUGACUUCAAGAAAGAGAAAAAUUUAUACGGUGUUACUAUAGGAGAAUGAGACAUCUGAGCUACUAUGUCUGGUAUGAGUUUGUAUUCUUUGAAAUCAAUAACUGAAUUUUAGGAACAACAGAUGUUAAGAGUAGAAUAUACUUAUUGGGAGAAAGAAAGCUGUCUGAGAAAGACAAGUGUUUCUGAGUGGUUUGGUAAAAACUGUCUUUGUAGGAACUUUUAUAGAGUAAAUUCAUGUGGUGAGAUGGGUUGAAGGUGUGGAAAACUGGGAACUCACAAUGCAGAUGGACAUAAGAUGGGACAGAUCUAUGGCAGCCAAUAAGAUUAAUAGUUCUGAUAAAGCUGAUUAAAUGGGAACAAAUGGGGAAAGGAGUCACAUAGAAAGCAGGCAUUCUUAGACAGCAGUGACUCUUCCCUUAGGAGGUUUGGAUGGUGACUCCCAACAUCCCCAGGAUCAUAGGAACUAUUUAGAAUAUCAGUCUUUGAGAUAGAGAUACAUUUAUUUGAAUGGUGACUCCUCACUCCCUCAGAGUCAUAGGGAACUAUUUAGAAUAUCAGUCCUUAGGGUAUGGAUGAAUUUGCGUGAUUUUCUGUCUUGAGGCUUGGCCCAUAGCAGGAGGUGUCCAUCUUCUCCAUAGUUGCAAGUUGUCUGCGCUUCUGCAUGGGCUCAUUGGAGGACCUAACCCUGUCUCACUGCCAGUGGUAUUUGACUAACGCAGUUUCCCAUAACACUAUUGUUCAGAAAAUUGAAUACAGAUGUCUUGUGCUCUGGGUGAACGAUUUGGGGAUGACAGUGUACAAUGUAUAUACCAUUGUUUUCCCCUGUUUGACAUGUUUUGAAAUUCGUUUUAGUUUAUGUUUUCUUUUUAUCCUUGAAACCAAAUGGGUUUGGAAAUAAAAAGCCUGAGGUAAAGCUCUUUGACAGAAAUAUUGCACUAUCGAGCUGCGAUCAACACCGUAGUAGACAGCCAACUCCAGAAAUCUCUGCACUACAGUCUAUCAUUUGAGGUCCUCUCUUGCAAGGAGGGGCUCCUUUCACUGUUUAUUUUGACUCAGAAGGAGGGCAGUAGAUCAGGAGUCAAUCAGUGAUGAAGAGGCGGGCUAUAUGAAAAGUCCAACCAGGCAGGACAUGGUAGGUGGUCUCUUAGGUUUCUUCCAGUGUCUAGGCAUUAUCUACUUGUUCUGAGCACAAAACUGGGAGCAGAAUGCUUGCUGGAUCUCAUUUAGUGCUUUCAAUAUCCUGUGGCCUGAUUAGCAAAGAACCUUGGAGACCCUCUAGCCACAGGAUGCAGAGGUUGUGGACGGGAACACAGAAAUAGGGUGGAAUUGGGCAAAAUCAGUUACAAGGGGUUAGAAGCAGUUCUGGUGUCUGGAGCCUCAGAUAUUUAGUUAACUUCACCUCCUGAGGUCCUCCAGCAUUGGCCAUGGGUCAUCCACUGUCCCUUUUGACUCUUACUGGGGGUAAGGGUGAUUCUGCAUCCCCAGAACCCUGACCUCACUAUGACAGCAACAGACUCUAGUAUCAUCUUUGAAAUUCUCUACUGCCCUGGCACCUCCACGAUAGUGGACAGGGUAAGGAUAUUAGAGAGACACUGACUCUGAUGCAUUUUGUAAUUGGUGUAAUGGUACUGAACUUGGUCUCUGUUCUCAUUUUAGGUAGCAGCAAAUCUUAAUUGUCUGAAGUUUAUAAAUGUCUGUAAUGCAGGGCCUCAUAGCCACAAAAGCAUUCCUUAAACUUGUGCUUUUUUGUAUCUAUAGUGAUCACGUAAAUUUAUAGUAUGUUCUCAUAUUUCCAUUCUUAUGACAGGUUUUGGAAAGGGUCCUGAGAAUUCAGAGAUUUGUAGUGGUGUGCCUCAGUGGAGGAAGGCUUCCCAAGCACCUGGCGAACUCCUGUGUAUUAUACAGAACAAUGCAAAGAAUUUCUGAACAUAGUUAAAUAUUUAGGUGACACCCCUGCUCAAAGACAAGGUUUGUGAGAACAGCCAUACAGUUUUGAAUUCUGUGAAAAAUGAUGUAGAUAUGAAAGUGUUAUCAAGGGCAGGGUAAAAUGUUCUUGCUAAGGAUAAAUUCCAAAAUGGGAUGCCUGUUAAAUCCUUAUUGAAAAUGCCUAAGUUUAAGACAUUUGCAUGGAUGUGAUAUCCUUCUGAAUGGAAAGGAAUAUGGGUGUCAUCUCUGAAUUAACAGCUGAUUUAAUAGCUUGGUUGAUCAUAGACAUUGUUUAAAUAUGGAAAUGCUCUGCAAUGGACUUUACUAAGUGACGUAAAGGAGAUGCUCUAAAUUGAAAUUUUGCAGGGAUAUCAAUAGUUAGGCAUGAAGCGUUUUCUGCUUAGGGUGGAUCAGAGGAGCAUCGAAAGGAUGUGGAAGUGAUUGGUAUGAUGCAGGGUGCCAAUAGCAGGACAUACAACAGGGAGGGUCUUCACUGAAAAUCAGGUAGUUCUUAGGAUAAGCAUGAAGUUGAAGUUGGGUUCUGAUUGCUUCCUUGAGGUGAAUAACACCAGCUCUGGCAACAAUCAGUAUUCUACAUCCUUGAAACCCAUGAAUUCUGUGUUCCAUACUUGAGAUGUAAUUUUGAUUAUCUCUACUUAUGCCUCAGUGUCAUGAAGGUGAAAUUUGAUUUUUUUUUUUGAAACACAGAUUGAACUCAUGACCUCAUACUUGCCAGGCAGGAUUUCAUGUUACUAAGCUAAAUAGCCAGCAAUGAAUAUGUUUUCUGUAUACUAUGGAACAUGUCAAAAUUAUUCCUCAGAAAGUGUUGAAUGUUGUUGGAAUUUUACUAUAAUGUACAGCUAUAGUUUUUGAAAUCAAACCAAAAGUGUCUUAUGCAGUCAGUUUUCAAGUUUCACUUUGUGGGAUUUUACAGUCAGGACCUCUCUAUUUCAUACAGUUCUGUAACUGAGGUUGGCCUCAAUCUCAAGGCAUUACUCCUGAAUCAUCCUCCCCAGAUAUAUUUCUUAUAUCUGAGUGAAAGGUAAUCACUUGGUGACACUAAGCUAUAAUUUACAACUUGUGCCUGGUUCCAUUGUUUAUACAUUGUUUACAUAAACAAUUUUCCAUUAACAUUUGAGUUAUAAUUUAGGUACCACAUUUCAUUUUAUUUAUGUUUUGUUCUAUGAAAUGUAUUUCAAAUUUCAAAAUGCUUCUUAAGUAUAUUAAGAACAAAUAACUCAGUGGCCUAAAUAAGAUUUGAAGAGAUAUCAUCUGUAAUCUAUCAAAGUUAUUGAUGAGAUAUUUGUCUGCCUUUGUGCUUUGUGAAUGCUGGUCCUGCAGCCUCCCAUUGUGAGCUCUGCUUUAGAGACAGUGCACAGGGACUCUUGCAGUGACUCAGCCCAAAAUCAAUGCUCCUUUUUAACUGUUACAUUAAAAAUGAGUUGCAAUCUAGCAUCAAAAUUACUGUCUCAAACAAUGUGUAUAUGCACAAAAUUAAUGACAGAGACAUGGAAUUAAGAUUUGUUAAGUUUAGUUUUAUUGAGACAGGCUUUCACUAUGUAUAUCAGCUGUAUUUGGACCCCCUAUGUAGGCUAGAAUUGCCUUGAACUCACAGCAGCCUUCCUGUUUCAGCCUAUUUAUUGCUGGGAUUAAAGAUAUGCAUGACCAUACUUAGUUUUUGAUUCACAUUUUUAUGAGAGAAUUUAAGAUGUCCCAGGCUUGAGUCUCAAACUUCUUUUGAGAAAUACAUGUGUAUUUCUCAUGUGGCUGUGAACUUCAGCAGUGAGGAGUGGACUUUGCUGAGUCCAUCCCAAAAGAAAGUCUACAGAGAUGUGAUGGAGGAAACCUUUGAAAAUGUAUAAAAUUGCAUAUAAAUGAGUAUAAAAAACAUACACUUUGAGUUUUGAUAGGAUCCGACCUUCAGUUUACCUACCCAUGUAUACAUUUGAGUACAAAACAAUCAUUAUCAAAAAAUUGCUAAAACUGCAGCACAAUUUGAAAUAUAAAUGAAUGCUCAUGUUUCAAAGCCAUUCUCAAGAGAAUCAGUCCCUUCUAAUUAAAAUUCUUAGUAGACUGGUGUUAUGUUAAGUGAAGUUACACUGAAAAUCAUUAUGCAGUAGUCUCUAGAAGUUGAUCCCAUCAUACUUCUCCUGAAUUGUAUUUUCAAAAGAGUCAAAACAAACAUAAAAUACAGAUACAUGCUUAUUCAUAUGCAAAGCAGAUCAAGUUAUAACAGAUGAGGCCUUGAAGCAGCUUAGCUAUCACUGGAUUUGUGGAGAAGGAAAAUAUUAAUAGUUUCUGUGUGAGUGUGCAUUCUUGUAAACCCAGCACCCUGGGAAUAAGAUUUUGCAGAAUGGCAAAUUCAAGUUCAAACUUAAAAGCUUAAUCAUCAGUGAAAAUCUCUUAAAAUAAAGAAGCUAGACAUUUAGUGCUGACACCUGUGGCUGAUUUUGAGUAUGGAAAACAAUAAAAUAUGUGCUAUGUAAUCAGUGAAAAAUAAAUAAUGUAAUGUCAUUUGCCAUAAAAAUAAUUGGUUGCUCCUCCCAUCAAGUUCAGUGAAAUAGCUCAGCUACAAAAUGUAAAAGGUCACAGUGUUUCUGUUAGAUGAGACACCAAAAUAUAAAUUGUGGGGUGAAAUGAAAGAGAGUUGAUACAGAAAGGUAAGCCUGAUCAUUUGGAUAAGGGAACUACAGGCUAAGGACAGAAAGGAGAUGGCUAUUGGGGAAAAAUCAGAAUGAUCAAUAUGUGAUACACAUAUAGACCCAUGCCCAAAGUGAAGCUAAAUGUUUUGCAUUUCAAAAUAUACAAACUUUUAAGAUUCCCAAAUGUAUACCACUCUUUUGGAAAUGGUUGUUUUCCAAAUAUCUUGCAAGGCAUUCAGUUACUUCAUUGUCAGAAUUUCUUAGCAGGCAUCAAAACUGAACUUGUCAUUAAGGCAGUCAUUAGUACAGAGACCCAUUUCAGUGUGAUUUUUUUCCUAUUUUAAAUUUUAUUUAAAGAAAGACUAAAUACAGAAAAUGGGUAGAAAUUAUACUACUCUCAAAGAAAAAAAAUAAAUAAGAAGUAACAUGUUGAUGAUUACAUGAUAUCCACUUGUAAGUAGUUGCUUAAGACACAAAAUUGAAGCAUAUAAAGUGGGGUCUCAAACAGCUAGACUGCAAAGAGUUCUAUUUAAAUACCCAACAAAAACUUAGUAAUAUAGUUAUCAGUCCUAUAUGUAAUUUAUUUCUUUACAGAAAUGACAAGGUAGGAAAAUACUAUGGACUUACAUCUUGCAAUCAGUAUAAAGAAGUAUUCCUUUGUACUCCAGAAAAUAUGGUUGUGAAAGAAACAGACACAAACUAUGAUAUUCAGAUCCAUGAAAAAUAUCAAAAUAGAGGGAAACAUAUGUAUGUGAGCAAUGUGGGAAACUUUUGCAACAUGUGGAGAUUAUAAGAAACAUAAAAGAAUUCACACUGGAGAGAAACCAUAUGUAUGUAAUUUAUGUGGGAAAACUUUUUAUACAGGUGGAGAUUGUAAGAAUCAUGAAAAAAAUUCACACUGGAGAGAAACCUUUGUAUGUAAGCAAUGUGGGAAAGCUUUUACCGCACAUGGACAGUGUAAGAAACAUGAAAGAAUUCACAGUGAAGAAAAACCCUAUGUAUGUAAGUAAUGUGGGAAAGCUUUUACCCAACAUGAAAAUAGUAAGAAACAUGAAAGAAUUCACACUGGAGAAAAAUUUCUUUUAUGUCAGCAAUGUGGGAAAGGUUUUACCACAUGUGGACAGUGUAAGAACCAUGAAAGAAUUCACACUGGAAAGAAACACUCUGUAUGUGAGCAAUGUGGGAAAGGUUUUACCACAAGUGGGCAAUGUAAGGAACAUGAAAGAAUUCACACUGGAGAAAAACCAUAUAUAUGUAAGCAGCGUGGGAAACUUUUUACCCAAUGUGGACGUUGUAAGCAACAUGAAAGUAUUCACACUGGAGAGAAACCCUAUGUAUGUCACCAAUGUGGGAAAGCCUUUAUGCAUUUUCACACCCAAGAUAAACACAUAGUUAAAUUAUAUAAAAACAAUUAUAAUUAUAUAAAAAACACAGUACAGCUUACCAGAAUCUGGGAGAUGCAAUGAAGGCUGUCCUCAGAGGAAUAUUUAUUGCACUGAGUUCCCACAUCAGGAAAACAAGGAAUAUAAAUAAACAACCUGAUGCUACACCUCAAACAUCUAGAAAGACAAGAGCAAGUGGAGCCCAAAGCCAAAAGAAGGGAGGAAAUUUUAAAAAUUAGAGCAGAAAUUAAUGUCAUUUAGACUAAGAAAACAAUCCAAAAAUCAAUGAAUCACAGAGGUGGUUCUUUGAAACAACAAAUAAAAUUGGUAAGAUCAUACCCAACCUUAUAAUAAAAAUGAAAGGAAAAGCUCAAACUCAGGCACUAAGGAAUGAGAAAGGUGAAAUCACCACAGACUCUGUGGAAAUACAGAAGAUCAUCAACACCUAUUUCAAAACCUCGACUCUCAUAGGUUCAUCAACAAAGAAGAAAUGGACAGAUGUCUUAGAACAUAUGAAUUACCCAAGCUGGGUGAAGAUGUAAAACUUCUGAAUAACCCAAUUUCUAUUUAUGAAAUUGAAAAUGUAUAUUAAGUUCUUAUCUACAAAGAAGAGCCCAAGUCCAGUCGGAUUCACUGCAGAAUUCUACAAGAAAUACAAAGAAGACUGAAUGCUGACACUUCUCAAAAUCUUCAAUGAAAUUGAAAGGGAAGCAAUUCUUCCUAAGUCAUUCCUGGAAGCAAAUAUUACUCUAGGACCAAAACCUGAGAAAGGCCAAGCUAAGAAAGAGAAUGAAAACCCAACUUCCCUAAUGAGCAAAGAUGCCAAAAUCCUUAAUAAAAUAUUGGCAAACAGGAUGCAGCAAAUCAUCAUGAAGAUUAUACAUCAUGACCACAAGGGAUUCAUCACAGGAAUGCAGGGUUGGUUCAACAUGUAUAAAUUAAUAAAUGUAAUCUACCAUAUCAAUUAAGCCAAA